rnacentral:rRNA from 1 species
AUUGAACGCUGGCGACAUGCCUUACACAUGCAAGUCGAACGGCAGCACGGGUGCUUGCACCUGGUGGCGAGUGGCGAACGGGUGAGUAAUACAUCGGAACAUGUCCUGUAGUGGGGGAUAGCCCGGCGAAAGCCGGAUUAAUACCGCAUACGAUCUACGGAUGAAAGCGGGGGACCUUCGGGCCUCGCGCUAUAGGGUUGGCCGAUGGCUGAUUAGCUAGUUGGUGGGGUAAAGGCCUACCAAGGCGACGAUCAGUAGCUGGUCUGAGAGGACGACCAGUCACACUGGGACUGAGACACGGCCCAGACUCCUACGGGAGGCAGCAGUGGGGAAUUUUGGACAAUGGGCGAAAACCUGAUCCAGCAAUGCCGCGUGUGUGAAGAAGGCCUUCGGGUUGUAAAGCACUUUUGUCCGGAAAGAAAUCCUUGGCCCUAAUACGGUCGGGGGAUGACGGUACCGGAAGAAUAAGCACCGGCUAACUACGUG